GGAGGAAAAGAACUAACAAGGAUUCCCCUAGUAACUGCGAGUGAAGCGGGAAAAGCUCAAAUUUAAAAUCUGACAGUCUCUGGCUGYCCGAGUUGUAAUCUAGAGAAGUGAUGCCCGCGCUGGACCGUGUACAAGUCUCCUGGAAUGGAGCGUCAUAGAGGGUGAGAAUCCCGUCUCUGACACGGACUACCAGGGCUUUGUGGUACGCUCUCAAAGAGUCGAGUUGUUUGGGAAUGCAGCUCAAAAUGGGUGGUAAAUUCCAUCUAAAGCUAAAUAUUGGCGAGAGACCGAUAGCGAACAAGUACCGUGAGGGAAAGAUGAAAAGAACUUUGGAAAGAGAGUUAAACAGUACGUGAAAUUGCUGAAAGGGAAACGCUUGAAGUCAGUCGCGUUGGCCGGGGAUCAGCCUCGCUCUUUUGCGUGGUGUACUUUCCGGUUGACGGGUCAGCAUCAAUUUUGACCGCUGGAAAAAGGCUUGAGGAAUGUGGCAGCUCCGGCUGUGUUAUAGCUUCAUGUCACACACAGCGGUUGGGAUUGAGGAACUCAGCACGCCGCAAGGCCGGGUUUYGACCACGUUCGUGCUUAGGAUGCUGGCAUAAUGGCUUUA
rnacentral:rRNA from 1 species